UAUACCCCGUUGGAUAAGGGUUAAGCCAACUGGUGCGGACAUCUGCAAAGGUUUCUUGUUUUUCCUUACGUCUAAAAGAACAAGUGGCGAGCCUGCAA
rnacentral:ncRNA from 1 species